AGUGGGGGUUUGGUGUGUUUGCGUCUUGGGCUGACAUUCUGGUUUUAGUGAACUAAGUCAGCAGAGCAAUUUUCCAGGAGCGCAGUGGAGCUGAGCUGAUCCUGCCAACUUCCUCUACGUUUUCUGGGACCAUGAAAGAACUGGCAGCCCUGCCUUUUAACACUCGCUUAUUUUUAGCUCGUUUCUGUAAACUAUUCAUCAAAUCCCAAGAUUAGAGAAUAAUUUGUAAGGCACUUUUAAGAGGCAGUUAAAACUAGUAGCAUUUCAGGCACUGAAAACUUUGAUUUGCUAUUGUACUUCCCUCAGUUGCACACAUAUUUAAUAUUUGAAUGCUAGUAAGGGAGCAUAAAGACUCAAAAUUGAAAAAUCAGCUAAUGAACAUAUCCCCCUUUCAAAAGAACUGUUCACUUAAGGAGAUUAAUGUAUUUUUUGUACAAAUAAUGACCUGAAAUGGUAAAUAUUGAAGUUAUUUUAUAUUUUAUGCAUUUGGUAUUAAUUUUACUAAAUUACUUACCACAGAUAUAUACCACUUAAAAUACCUUGGCAUUUUGAAUUACAAUAUAGCUCCUUUUGUUUUGUAAGGUUCAUGCACUUAAAUUUUUCUCACUUUUUAUCUAAUAUUUCUGUUUUCAUUAAGAUAACUGAUUUUGCAUGACUGCAUUUAUAAUCUAUUCUUGUUUGACUAAGGAAAACUUUUCAUGUGCUUUUAGGAGGAGCUAGAGUCUUAUGUUUAUGGCGCUAAAUUAUUGUUACCCUGCACAGAGCAUGGACUGCAACAUUAAUGAAGCAAUGACUGCUUUAAUGUUGAUGGUUUCAGAUUUUACCAGGCAAUAAUGGUUGCAAUUAAGAUAAAAUUAUAUUAAAACAAACAAACAAAAAACCCAAAAAC